rnacentral:rRNA from 1 species
CCUACGGGAGGCAGCAGUGGGGAAUAUUGCACAAUGGGCGCAAGCCUGAUGCAGCAACGCCGCGUGAGGGAUGAAGGCCUUCGGGUUGUAAACCUCUUUUAGUUGGGAAGAAGCGAAAGUGACGGUACCAACAGAAAAAGCACCGGCUAACUACGUGCCAGCAGCCGCGGUAAUACGUAGGGUGCAAGCGUUGUCCGGAAUUAUUGGGCGUAAAGAGCUCGUAGGCGGUUUGUCGCGUCUGCUGUGAAAAUCCAAGGCUCAACCUUGGACCUGCAGUGGGUACGGGCAAGCUAGAGUGCGGUAGGGGAGAAGGGAAUUCCUGGUGUAGCGGUGGAAUGCGCAGAUAUCAGGAGGAACACCAAUGGCGAAGGCACUUCUCUGGGCCGUAACUGACGCUGAGGAGCGAAAGCGUGGGGAGCGAACAGGAUUAGAUACCCCAGUAGUC